rnacentral:rRNA from 1 species
AUUGAACGCUGGCGGCAGGCCUAACACAUGCAAGUCGAGCGGAGCGGCGGACGGGGGAGUAAUGCCUAGGAAUCAGCCUGGUAGUGGGGGAUAAAGUCCGGAAACGGGCGCUAAUAACGCAUACUAACAGAUGAGCCUAGGGUGUAUGAGCUAGUUGGGGGGGUAAAGGCCUACCAAGGCGACGAUUCGGAACUGGGCUGAAAGGAUGAUCAGGCACACUGGAACUGAGACACGGUCCAGACUCCUACGGGAGGCAGCAGUGGGGAAUAUUGGACAAUGGGCGAAAGCCUGAUCCAGCCAUGCCGCGUGUGUGAAGAAGGUCUUCGGAUUGUAAAGCACUUUAAGUUGGGAGGCGUUACCAACAGAAUAAGCACCGGCUAACUUCGUGCCAGCAGCCGCGGUAAUUC